rnacentral:rRNA from 1 species
AACGCGAAGAACCUUACCAGCUCUUGACAUGUCCCGUAUGGGCAGGGGAGACCCUGCUCUUCAGUUCGGCUGGCGGGAACACAGGUGCUGCAUGGCUGUCGUCAGCUCGUGUCGUGAGAUGUUGGGUUAAGUCCCGCAACGAGCGCAACCCUCAUCUUCAGUUGCCAUCGGGUAAUGCCGGGCACUCUGAAGAAACUGCCGGUGACAAGCCGGAGGAAGGCGGGGAUGACGUCAAGUCCUCAUGGCCCUUAUGGGCUGGGCUACACACGUGCUACAAUGGCGGUGACAAUGGGACGCAAUGGGGCAACCCUGCGCAAAUCUCAAAAAGCCGUCUCAGUUCGGAUUGUGCUCUGCAACUCGAGCACAUGAAGUUGGAAUCGCUAGUAAUCGCAGAUCAGCACGCUGCGGUGAAUACGUUCCCGGGCCUUGUACACACCGCACGA